GUCGACCUGGAAAAUUACGAAUGUGUCAGACGAAUUAUUUUGUCUUUCAUAGAAGAUAAACUUUGCAGAACGAUGAAUCAGAAUGACUGAAUGACACUAAGUUUUGCAAAAUGGAGAUAUCCCAAACUUCCAUGGCCUUCGACAUAUUUGAGUGGGAUCCUGAAACAACCCCUGACACAACAACUUAAUUUACAAGAACAACCCUGCGUAUAAGAACUACAAUACUUCUGAACAAACAAAAGCAACUCCAGAUUUAUGAACAACUCUGAUUACUAGAACAUGAACACCAACCCCAUCUUCAAGAACAACAACUUCAACCCCAGAACAUCAACACUUCCUGCAGGGACAACUACAAAAUCAUCGGCUUCAAGAACAAAUUCAUUCUCAACACAUACAUCAGCAACAACAGCUACCCAAAUAAAAAUACUCGAACUACAAGAACACCAGCAACACACUCUUUAAGAACACCAGCAUCAUCAUCUUCUUCUAGACUUGCAAAUGCAACAAACACCUAAGACAAAGUUGAAUGGCUAACUUCAAUGGAGAGGAGAGAGUAAUGGCAAAAAGAGGAUCAUUUUAAAGAGAGGAGGAAGAGGGAUCUGAGGCCAGGAUAUCAGAUUCAC